CUGCUCUUCCUCCGUAGCGCCCUUGCGUCUUCGCUGCAGCAGCUUCUGGAGCUGAGGUCCCAGCAGUGUCCCUCAGAGCCAAGCCCAGGACCCAGCAGAACCACGACCCAAGGUAGGACUACAGCUCCCCAGAUCCCCCCUCCCGCUGACGGCCGGGGACAUGUCGCCGUUGCACCAGGGAUGCGGCCCCUCACCAGUAGCUGCCGGCGCUGCCGCAACGGCACAUAGGGUACGUAGUCCUCGUCGUCCUCAUCCUCGUCCUCGGAGCGGCUCCCACCCGCGGUCGCCUCGUCCGCGCGUGCCCGCUGCGGAGACCCGAGUCAGCCGCGGCCCCUCCCCCUGCCCGCACCCCCUCGCGUGGACCAAACCUCAGUCCCACCUUCCGCUCCGGUUCCGAAUCCUCCAUCUUAGGCUGCACACAUGCGCAAUGCCAGGGCAUCUGAGCUCCAAUCAGAUAGGAAAAACUGCUGUGGUCGCCUAGCAACGGCGUGAGCGCCGGAUCGCGAACCGGGACAAUCUUCUUCCAGCGCGUUUACGGACGCGCAGCGGAGCCAAUUGGGUCUGGCGAAGCCUUGUGGGUAGCGGGAGGAUUUGAAGCAUGCGCAGAAGAUCCAAGUCGUGGGUUAAAGGAUGAAUCUGUUGAACACGCCCUACCCUCCGCACGCUGUCCUUUCCCGCACGCUCCCGGGGAGCGUUGUGCCCUCUGGCGGCCAGGAGUUUCAGCCCUGCAAGCGGUGCUCGCAAAAUAUUAUUCAUUAACGUGAGAUAACACCGCUGUUCCGACGGAUGGAAAACCGAGGCUUAGAGAUGAACUGAUUUGCCCAAGGUCAUACAGCAAGUGCGAUCAAGCUGAGCUUCAAACUUAAGUCCAAGGCUCGCUGCUUUCAGUCACAAUGCGCUUGCCCAUGACAAUGUCCACGGCUCAAGGUCAAACAAAAGAGUGGAGUGGUCCCCUUUACUCAACAGACAAUGGAAAAGAAAAGGCUCAGGUCAAGUGGACAGUGACUCCAGGGAGCUGCAAUCAGAAGGUUCAGUGCAUGGCAGGCUAGAGAGAGAUGCAAGGUGCAUUACAAGUGUUAAAGACUUCCCUGAGGAUGUCUGCAAAGGAGGGAACAUCUGAACUGAGCCCUGGAGUAACAGUCUUUCAGGAAGGAUACACAGGUUUAUAAAAUGCACACCAGACCUGGGAACUGUGGAACAUGCCUUCUGGGGACUGCUCAAAGGCCAGAGACCACUACAGUGGGUGGAACACUCUGGAGGGAGGGCAACUUGGGGUGGGAGCGAAGGAAGGAUGACCAUUCUCUGAAGGUAGCAGCAGGACCUUUUGCUUAACUACUUGAGGUUGCAGAAGGAUCUUGGUUGUCCUUGGGCUGAAAAGAUGGAGAAUUACUUCUGCCUUCCAGAGCUCUAGGGUUAUUUGACCACCCAAGAACUGGAACUAGCUGGCUGUGAAACCACAUCUCUUCAGAUGGUGGUUCCUGCAUAUGGCACUGAGCAGAUGCAGCUGGGGGUAGGCAGGUGAAGGAAUGGAGCUGCAGGUGACUAGUCAUCAAGCCCUGGGGCUCAUCUAGCAGCAGGGCUGUCCAGGAAUAGCUCCCUGGGUUUAUCCUCCAUGUUGAGUGAGGACUGGUUCAUUGCCAUGGCUUCAAUUACAUCUCUGCGCUGGCAACUGCUAGUCUCACACCUCCACUUGCACUUGAAUGCCUCCCAGGAACCUUGUCAAUGAGCCCCAACUGCACCAGAACUAUCAUACUGGCUCCAACCUGGGACACACCCAAGGGGGUCUCAUGCUGGAGGGUCUCUCUCGUGUUGCCAUUAGAGUCCCAAGCCUGUCACUUCUCUCACUCAAGUCUCUCAGCCCCAGUCUCAGUCACCUCCCCCUUGGUCUUGUCUUUUCCUACCUGGGGUAUCAAACUCAAAGUUUCCUUUCCCUUGCCUUCCAGUCUGGCCCCUGGGUCACCACACUGCAAUCGAGACACAGACUUGAGCGAGUCAGGCCUCUGGUAACAGCCUCUUAUUUGGAGGCUAAGGUCAAGGCUAAGGCCCUGGAGCAGGGCCUCCGAGGCUCUCCUGUCCCCACUUCCCUGCCCUACUCUGCGGCUGUCAGCACUGGCUCUGACACACUGCUGUGGGCUGUGCUGUACCCACUGCCCUUGUUCCCAGGACCCAGCUGAUGAGUCACCCUCCUGUAAAUUCACUCCUGGGCUUUACAAGACAGGGCACUUCCCUUGACCUGGUACUUGUCACACCCUAAUGUGUUUGUCCAGUUUCGUGUCAGUUUCCUUGCUGGACUCAGUUUCUCCCAGGGUAAGAACUGAACUGUUACUGUUUGGCUCCCAGUGUUUGUGGACAUACUUGCUGAAUGAAUAAAUGACCUACGACAGAA